UGAGUGCGAGCGGCUACGGCCGCGAAGUGGGUGAUGUCAAGCUUCCAAGAAAAGCCCUAUACCCGUUAAGGCAUGAUGGCCUGUACCCGAAACCGACACAGGUGGGGUGGUAGAGAAUACCGAGGGGCGCGAGGUAACUCUCUCUAAGGAACUCGGCAAAAUGGCCCCGUAACUUCGGGAGAAGGGGUGCCACCGCAAGGUGGUCGCAGUGAAGAGGCCCAGGCGACUGUUUACCAAAAACACAGGUCUCCGCUAAGUCGCAAGACGAUGUAUGGGGGCUGACGCCUGCCCAGUGCCGGAAGGUUAAGGAAGCUGGUCAGCGCAAGCGAAGCUGGCGACUGAAGCCCCGGUGAACGGCGGCCGUAACUAUAACGGUCCUAAGGUAGCGAAAUUCCUUGUCGGGUAAGUUCCGACCGCACGAAAGGCGUAACGAUCUGGGCGCUGUCUCGGAGAGAGGCUCGGCGAAAUAGAAUUGUCUGUGAAGAUGCGGACUACGUGCACCCGGACAGAAAGACCCUAUGAAGCUUUACUGUAGCUUGGUAUUGUGCCCGGGCUCUGAAUGCGCAGGAUAGGUGGGAGGCUUUGAUCCAUGGCUUGCGGGUCAUGGUGAGCCAACGGUGAGAUACCACUCUUUCAGAGCUAGGGUUCUAACGGUCACCCGUCAUCCGGGGACCGGACAGUAUCAGGUGGGCAGUUUGACUGGGGCGGUCGCCUCCUAAAAGGUAACGGAGGCGCGCAAAGGUUUGCUCAGGCUGGUUGGAAAUCAGCCGACGAGUGCAAAAGCAGAAGCAAGCUUGACUGUGAGACCUACAAGUCGAACAGGGACGAAAGUCGGCUUUAGUGAUCCGACGGUUCUGAGUGGAAGGGCCGUCGCUCAACGGAUAAAAGUUACUCUAGGAUAACAGGCUGAUCUCCCCCAAGAGUUCACAUCGACGGGGAGGUUUGGCACCUCGAUGUCGGCUCAUCGCAACCUGGGGCUGAAGUCGGUCCCAAGGGUUGGGCUGUUCGCCCAUUAAAGCGGUACGCGAGCUGGGUUCAGAACGUCGUGAGACAGUUCGGUCCAUAUCCGGUGCACGCGCAGGAACAUUGAGAGGAUUUCUCCCUAGUACGAGAGGACCGGGAGGAACGCACCUCUGGUGUGCCAGUUAUCGUGCCAACGGUAAACGCUGGGUAGCCAUGUGCGGAGUGGAUAACCGCUGAAAGCAUCUAAGUGGGAAGCCCACCUCAAGAUGAGUGUUCCCAUGGCAUAAGCCAGUAAGGUCACGGGAAGAACACCCGUUGAUAGGCUCUACGUGGAAGCCGGGUAACCGGUGAAGCGGAGGAGUACUAAUAGACCGAGGGCUUGACC
rnacentral:rRNA from 1 species